rnacentral:rRNA from 1 species
GGGCCCGCACAAGCAGCGGAGCGUGUUGCUUAAUUCGAUGCAACGCGAAGAACCUUACCAGGGUUUGACAUCCUGCGAAUCUCUUGGAAACAGGAGAGUGCCUUCGGGAACGCAGUGACAGGUGGUGCAUGGCUGUCGUCAGCUCGUGUCGUGAGAUGUUCCGUUAAGUCGGAUAACGAGCGCAACCCUUACCCUUAUUUGCCAGCGAUUCGGUCGGGAACUAUAAGGGGACUGCCGGUGAUAAACCGGAGGAAGGUGAGGACGACGUCAAGUCAUCAUGGCCCUUACGAGUAGGGCUACACACGUGCUACAAUGGGGAAUACAGACGGACGCUAAGCCGCGAGGUGGUGCU